ACAUCCUCCCCACAUUGGGUGGGCUCAGAAAUCCUCACGGGAUGGAGGGCGUUGGCACCCACACAGAAUCGGGGGUGCUGGCACACUCACGGAUUGGAGGCCGCUGGCAACUUCACGGGUCAGGGGGCACGGGCACCCUCACAGGUCGGGGGGCACGGACAUUCUCACAGGGUCGGGGUGCUGGCAUCUUCUGUGGUCGGUGGGCGCUGGCACUCUCACGGGUCGAGGGGCCCAGGCAACCUCAAGAGGUCGGGGGUGCAGCCACCCUCAUGGGGUUGGGAGGCGCUGGCACCCUCACGGGGUUGGGAGGCGCUGGCACUCUCACGGGUUGAUGUCUACUGCAGCCCCCCGCACGGGGUCGGGGUCCGCAACCAUGCUCACGGCUCGGUGGCCUGGACAUCCUCACUGGUCGGGGGGCUCAGGCACACUCAUGGGGUUGGGGGGCGCAGACUUCCUCACAGGUCGGGGGGCGCAGGCCCCCUCACGGUCCGGGAGGCACAGAAAUCCUCACAGGGUCCGGGGGCUCCGGCACAUGCACGGAGUCAGGGGGCGCAGGCACCCUCACUGGUUGGGGGCGCAGACAUCCGCGCGGAUCUGGGAACGCAGGCACACGCACGAGGUCUGGCAGCACAGACUUCCUCACCGGUCCGGGGGUGCAGCCACCAUGACGGGGUCGGGAGGUGCUGGCAUCCUCACGGGGUCUGGGUCCGUAGCCAUGCUCACGGUUCGGGAGCGCAAACAUCCUCACGGAUAGGGGGGCGCAGGCACACUCAUGGGGUUGGGCGGUGCAGGCACACACACGGGUCGGGGGGCACAGACAACCUCACGGGAUGGGGUCUGCAACCAUCCACACGGGUCGGGGGGCGCAGGCACACGGACGGGUCGGGGGCACAGACUUCCUCACGGGUCGGGGGGCGCAGACACACGCACAGGGUCGGGGGGCGCGGGCUACUCACCGUGACCGGAAGGCCCCGCGGCAGCUGCGGCCGGGUCUGCUCAGCCCUGGAGGGAAGCGUGGGAGAGGCUGAGGCCCCGGAGCUGCUCUGA
rnacentral:lncRNA from 1 species